AACCAGCAUCUGCAGUUAUUUCUUAAACGUAGAAUGAAAUAAAGUACUUUCUGGCAUUGUAACUGUUAAAGAUCCAGUUCAUUGGUUUCAUUGAAAACGAGACCCUUCAAUGAACAGCGAUUAAAAUAUACUGGACACAUUUCUAUGAUUUGUACAGAACAUCCUCUGGAAAUGAACUGAUUUCAUUUAUACAGUUCGUCAAUCAAUUAUGUCCCAAAGUCAGCAAAUAUCCAAACAUCACUCAAUAUAGUAAACAAAUCUCCACAGUCUUGUAAUAAAUAACAUCAAAACCACCUAAGACUGAUAAGAAAGAAAAAAUACUGAAAUUGGACAAAGAGAGUCAGAGAGUAGUUCAUAACUCGGUCUUUUGGAAUUCAAAAUGUUAUGGGAGCUGCUAGGUACAGGUGUCCCUAAGUUAGGGGUUCAAAACCCAAGGAUGGCCAGUAUUCCAUAUCUAGGUGACUUGUUAUGCUUCACAAAAUUCUGUACUUUUUUUCUUACACUCCUACAGUUUAAAACUGCUCUGAUUUUAUUAUGCUGCAUCAAUGCAGCUUGAUUUAUGCAUCUUCAUAAUGAAUAUCAAUAUAUAUGAUUGUUGAGCGUGAAUUAAAUAUUUGCAUCAUGCCACGUUCAUAAUCCAUUCCAUAGCCAAUUAAAUUAUGUAACAUGCUUGUAUUUUUUAAUUAAAAAAAUAGUUUUGAUAUGGUCAGGUUUGCACUGAAUGCUUAAACCCAAUCAAUGCAAUUUAUUAGCAUGCUUAAAACAAGAAAGUACAGUUGCUGGAACCCUGAAAUGAAAGUGGGAUAUGCUGGAGAUGUUUUGUAAGAAGGACAGCAUUCAUGGAGAGAAAAACAGUUAUGUUUUCAGGUUCUUCCAUCAGAAUUGGAAAAGAACUGACAUGCUGACUAUCUCCACCAUAUCCUGUUUGUAUUUUAUUGCUAACUUGAGAUAAAUUUAAGUGGCUGAAUAAAUCACCUGAGCACGAGGAGAGACCGAGUGGUGACUGUUGAGCUCAUCUGCAUGUGCACUUUGCCCCUUCCCUUCAUGAAAAUCAACCGUGCAGUGAAAUUGUCUUCUAAACUGUUACAACUCGUAAACAUGUCAUAAGUAUAGCAUAACAGGUUUUUAACAAGAAUUUUAACACAAAAUGAACAUGCAUAGGAAAAUGAUGUAGAAAAGAAAAUGAUGGAAAAAUGAUAAUAAUUUAGUGGUAAACGUUAAUAUUCUGGGAUUUAUUUUAUCCAAUCAUAAAUCAUCACUAGUUUUUUGGAAAUCCUGCAUUGUGUUUCAGUCGAUAAUUAAGAUGUAUCAAGUGAAUGUACUGACUGUCAUUCUGAAUAAAUUCAAUUAAUUGGAUUAAAUGUAAGCACCAUUUACAUAAACUACCAACCCUAGCAAAUAUGAUUUAAUUUGGAUGUUUACUGAAUACAAUAAAUCCACCACAUUUAUUAAUUUCUAAAAAUGUAAUCACUGCACUUUGAGUAAUUAAUUUUCUGAAAAUGUUUUGUGAUAUUUUGAAAAUUUAUAUAAAUAUAGAUACAACUUUUAUCUUGAUGUAUAUUUUUUCUGUUCUUUUCACAUUUUUAUCGUGAAUGCUCUCAAAACCAGCUUCUACUUUAAGCUAUCUUUCGGGAAAUCAGUCUCAGCUCCCUGCACACAUACCUGCAGCACUCUUUUAAAUGAAUCUUACUGUAAGAAUUGUUCGCUACCCCGCUGAAGGAUACCAAAGCUUUGGGGGCUUUGUAUUUGUGUUUGUAGCAACCGUAGUUUCAUUCUUUUAUUUUUGAAUUGUGUGCAAUAGAAAAAUAGAUUUAAGAUAUAACUCAAUCAGUAUAAUUUUCAGAAUGUGAUCAUUCCACUCUGUUGUGUACACUUAACUUGAAACAUAUUGACAUUUAAAAACAGAAAAAUGCAAUGGGUCUGACCUGAAUAAUGCAGAAUGAGCCAUUUCUAUAUUUAAAUGACCACUUUUAUUGAAAUAAGCUGUGUAAAAUUCAGUCCUUUUGUACAUUUGAUGCACACCUUUUUUAAAUUAAAUUAGAGCGUUCUUAA